UACGAAGUGGGCUAGCGUUGCUCGGAAUCACUGGGCGUAAAGCGCACGUAGGCGGACUCUUAAGUCGGUGGUGAAAUCCUGGAGCUCAACUCCAGAACUGCCUUCGAUACUGAGAGUCUCGAGUCCGGGAGAGGUGAGUGGAACUGCGAGUGUAGAGGUGAAAUUCGUAGAUAUUCGCAAGAACACCAGUGGCGAAGGCGGCUCACUGGCCCGGUACUGACGCUGAGGUGCGAAAGCGUGGGGAGCAAACAGG
rnacentral:rRNA from 1 species